AUUGAACGCUGGCGGCAUGCCUUACACAUGCAAGUCGAACGGUAACGCAGGGCAACCUGGCGACGAGUGGCGAACGGGUGAGUAAUGCAUCGGAACGUGCCUGGUUGUGGGGGAUAACUGCUCGAAAGAGCAGCUAAUACCGCAUACGACCUGAGGGGGAAAGGGGGGGAUCGCAAGACCCCUUGCUAUCAGAGCGGCCGAUGUCGGAUUAGCUAGUUGGUGGGGUAAAGGCCCACCAAGGCAACGAUCCGUAGCUGGUCUGAGAGGACGACCAGCCACACUGGGACUGAGACACGGCCCAGACUCCUACGGGAGGCAGCAGUGGGGAAUUUUGGACAAUGGACGCAAGUCUGAUCCAGCCAUGCCGCGUGCGGGAAGAAGGCCUUCGGGUUGUAAACCGCUUUUGUCAGGGAAGAAAUCUUCUGGGCUAAUACCCUGGGAGGAUGACGGUACCUGAAGAAUAAGCACCGGCUAACUACGUGCCAGCAGCCGCAGUAAAAC
rnacentral:rRNA from 1 species